UACGUAGGGUGCAAGCGUUGUCCGGAAUUAUUGGGCGUAAAGAGCUCGUAGGCGGUCUGUCGCGUCUGCUGUGAAAACUCAGGGCUUAACCCUGAGCUUGCAGUGGGUACGGGCAGACUAGAGUGCGGUAAGGGGAGACUGGAAUUCCUGGUGUAGCGGUGAAAUGCGCAGAUAUCAGGGAGGAACACCGGUGGCGGAAGGCGGGUCUCUGGGCCGUAAC
rnacentral:rRNA from 1 species